AGCUUUCUGAAUCCAUGUAGAGACUUUGUCAGACACCAACCCAUUAGGGCUGCUCAGACUUCCAAGAUAAGUGAAGUU
rnacentral:pre_miRNA from 1 species